CACGUAGGCACCAAGCGUUGUCCGGAUUUAUUGGGCGUAAAGAGCUCGUAGGCUGUUCAGUAAGUCGGGUGUGAAAACUCUGGGCUUAACCCGGAGAGGCCACCCGAUACUGCUGUGACUUGAGUUCGGUAGGGGAGUGGGGAAUUUCUAGUGUAGCGGUGAAAUGCGCAGAUAUUAGAAGGAACACCGGUGGCGAAGGCGCCACUCUGGGCCGAAACUGACGCUGAGGAGCGAAAGCGUGGGUAGCAAACAGG
rnacentral:rRNA from 1 species